UACGUAGGGUGCAAGCGUUGUCCGGGAUUAUUGGGCGUAAAGAGCUCGUAGGCGGUCUGUCGCGUCUGCUGUGAAAACUCGGGGCUUAACCCCGGGCCUGCAGUGGGUACGGGCAGACUAGAGUGCGGUAGGGGAGACUGGAAUUCCUGGUGUAGCGGUGAAAUGCGCAGAUAUCAGGAGGAACACCGGUGGCGAAGGCGGGUCUCUGGGCCGUAACUGACGCUGAGGAGCGAAAGCGUGGGGAGCGAACAGG
rnacentral:rRNA from 1 species